UGGGGAAUUUUGGACAAUGGGCGAAAGCCUGAUCCAGCAAUGCCGCGUGUGUGAAGAAGGCCUUCGGGUUGUAAAGCACUUUUGUCCGGAAAGAAAUCCUUGGCUCUAAUACAGUCGGGGGAUGACGGUACCGGAAGAAUAAGCACCGGCUAACUACGUGCCAGCAGCCGCGGUAAUACGUAGGGUGCAAGCGUUAAUCGGAAUUACUGGGCGUAAAGCGUGCGCAGGCGGUUUGCUAAGACCGAUGUGAAAUCCCCGGGCUUAACCUGGGAACUGCAUUCGUGACUGCAAGGCUAGAGUAUGGCAGAGGGGGGUAGAAUUCCACGUGUAGCAGUGAAAUGCGUAGAGAUGUGGAGGAAUACCGAUGGCGAAGGCAGCCCCCUGGGCCAAUACUGACGCUCAUGCACGAAAGCGUGGGGAGCAAACAGGAUUAGAUACCCUGGUAGUCCACGCCCUAAACGAUGUCAACUAGUUGUUGGGGAUUCAUUUCCUUAGUAACGUAGCUAACGCGUGAAGUUGACCGCCUGGGGAGUACGGUCGCAAGAUUAAAACUCAAAUGAAUUGACGGGGUCAUAGCUG
rnacentral:rRNA from 1 species